AUAUUAACUCUAAGAGAAAUUUAAUAAUAAACGAAGUGAAUUGAAAUAUCUUAGUAACUUUAGGAAAAGAAAUCAAAAGAGAUUCUAUGAUUAGCGUGAGCUAAAAUAGACUAGCCUAAAAAGUCAAAUGGUGGAUAAACUGUUUAAAUUAAAUGGGGAACCUUCCUCAAAGGCUAAAUAUAAUGUAUAAGCGAUAGUGGAAAGUACCGUGAGGGAACCAAAACAAAAACAGUGAUUUUAUAAGCAGUUCGGGAAAAUAAAAAAAAGUUAGAACGUACCUUUUGCAUAAUGGGUCACCAAGUUAACAUUAGAUGCGAGUAGGAGGCUUUGCCCAUACAUACGUAGUUAAACCGAGCGUUAAAAUAACGGUAAGUAUCUAAAGUUAGACCCGAAGCCUGGUGAUUUUACCAUAAUCAGGAUUAUAAAAGUCCGAACGGAAUAUUGUAGCAUAAAUAUCCGAAGAAUUAUGGUAGGUGUAGUGAAAGACAAUACUGACCAGGAUAGCUGGUUUUCUGCGAAACCUAUAACAGUAGGCAAUUUAAGUAUAAUAUCUUAGCAGGUACAGAAUUUAAUCUCAGACAAGACAUAAGGCUUAGCUUGCUAGCAAGUAAAGCUCAUGUUUUAUUUUGUACAAAUUGGGGGAUCAUGAAGAUUUUAUCAGUGAGUAUGUAGACUCGGAAUGGCAAAGAUAUAUCUUAAAUCAUCAGACAUAGAAUGAUAAGGUUGUAUGUCAAAAGGGAAACAGCCCAGAACAAGAGUUAAGGUUCCUAAAUUAUUAGUUGAGUGAAAUUAAGAAGGUUUUUAUUAAAGUCGACAAGGAGAUAGGCUUAGAAGCAGCCAUAAUUUUAUGACCUCGUAACAGAGCGCUUGUUAAGUUUUAAAAGCAUCGAAAAUUUAUCGGAUCUAAACAAUAUACCGAAACCUUGUCCAUAUUAUUUUAUAAUUAAAGCUUAAUUAUAAUUAAAUGGGGUAGCAGAACGUUGAGCUAAAUUAAGAUUUUUAUUUUUUAAAUGAAAUUAUAAUAAUUUAACUCAAGUGAUAAUGGUGACAUGAGUAACUAAAAGAAAAAAUAAAAUUUUUCCGCCUAAAGCUUAUGGAUGUAAUUAAGUAACGGCCUCUAAGUUUAUAUUAUCUAAAGAUUUAAACGAUGAGAUAAUCUUUUGUACUAAGGACGACAUUUUAAGUGAAAAAUGUACUGGAAAAAUAGUACUAAAUUAAUGGGUAUAGCUAAUUAGUUAGCUAUAGCUAUAAAUGAAAAGUAACCGUACCUAGAAUCUGAAACAAGUAAGCUAGUAGAGAAUACGAAGGCGUAAAUGAGCUAACAAUCAUAAAGGAACUCGGCAAAUUGACUACCGUAACUUCGGGAUAAGGAGAGCUCAUUAUUCUUGAUUAAUAUCAGGUAAAGAGGAAGAAGCAUGAAAUAGUGUUGUACGACUGUUUAAUUAAAACACAGCACUUUGCUGAAAGAUUAAAAAUCUAAGUAUAGAGUGUGAUGUCUGCCCGGUGCCGGCUGGUUAACAGAUAUAAUUAAAUAUACUAAUAUUUGAUGUAGACGGAAACCCCGGUUAAAGGCGGCCUUAACGUGAGGGUCCUAAGGUAGCGAAAUGCCUUGGCCGUUAAAUGCGGUCUUGCAUGAAUGAUGUAACGAUACAACAGCUGUCUCUAUGAUUGACUCAGUGAAAUUGGAAUAGCUGUGCAGAUACAGUUUACCUCUAGUUAGACGAGAAGACCCUAUGCAGCUUUACUGUCACUAAUUAUAGAGUAUGAUAAACAAUUUUCAGAUUAUAAGGUAAUUGACGGCUAGCUUGUUCAGCAAGCUAGCUCUAUGACAAUGAGAAUCCUUUAUUUUUUUUUCAUAUGAAUGAAUUGGUUUAGGAUUAUGAGUAGGUAGCGGCUUCUGCUACUUGGCGUAAGCAUUGCUUGCGUCAGGUGUCUGAAGUAUGCAUUCCAGCUCAUGCAUAGUAAAUCAACCUAAUUCAGCUUAUUUUCCUUUCUGCCAUAAGCGCAUAAUGAUAGAUUUAACUUAAAUUUUGAUUUAUGCCAGCUGCAGAAAUAGAUAAGUACCCUUGGCUAAGGAACUAUCGCUAGGGGACAGUUUAUGUGGGGCACAGACCCUGUAAAGAGUAAACAGGAGUGUCUAAUAAUUUAUAAUUAUUUUGUUUGCGAUUUAAGAUAGUGAAACUAUUUUUAAUCAUAUAAAAUUAUUUAUAUGUACAUUCGUUGUAUAUAUAUUUAAAAAAAGGUAGGAUUUUCACUAUAUAGAAAUUAGAGAUAAUAAAAAUAUUAAGAAUAUACGUUUCAGGCUGGGAGGGGGAAGCUCCUCCCUUUGAAAGGUAGCACUAAUAUUUUUUAGCUAUUAAGACAGGCUAUCAAGCUAGGCUCUAAUAGUUAUGUAUUAAUUAUCUAAAAAGCUCAACGGCUAAAUCUUGCCUUACUGUUUGAUUAUCAACAAAUCUUACAGUUGCGUAAGCAGGGCAUAGGAUCACAAGAUGCAACAAGGAAAGAUCUUGGAUUAUUGGAAAAGCUACGCUAGGGAUAACAGGCUAAUUUGCGCAAGAGUGUACAAAAUGAGUGCGCGGUUUGGCACCUCGAUGUCGGCUUAACUUAUCCUCAUGGAUGCAGGAACUAUGUAGGGUGCGACUGUUCGUCGAUUAAAAAGUUACAUGAGCUGGGUUAAAUACGUCGUGAGACAGUAUGGUUUCUAUCUUCUAGGGGGAAUUAGAAUAUAAUAAGAACUAACUUUUGUACGAAAGGAACAAGAAGAAUUUAAUUUGUAAAAGGGUUAAAUAAUAGUUACUAACCUAUGGUUUACCUGUUGUCUAUGUGCCCAAAUAUUAAAAUAUAUAUGGAGGAAGCUCCUUAAGAGCUUCCCCCGCAAAUUAUAUAUAUCUGUAUAGCUAGCCUGCGGACUCCGGUUAUGCCUGAGUUUGGCA
rnacentral:rRNA from 1 species